rnacentral:rRNA from 1 species
UACAUGUGGGGCAAGCGUUGUUCGGAAUUACUGGGCAUAAAGGGUGCGUAGGUGGUUUGUUAAGUCAGGGGUGAAAUCCCGCGGCCCAACCGUGGAACUGCCUUUGAUACUGGCGAACUUGAGUGCGUGAGGGGUAGGGGGAACGAGCAGUGUAGCGGUGAAAUGCGUAGAUAUUCGGAAGAACACCAGUGGCGAAGGCGACUUACUGGACACAUAUUGACGCUGAGGUGCGAAAGCGUGGGGAGCAAACAGG